CAGCUGUAAACGAUGCAGACUAGGUGUUUGGACGGCCACGUGCCGUUCUAGUGCCGCAGGGAAGCUGUUAAGUCUGCCGCCUGGGGAGUACGAUCGCAAGAUUGAAACUUAAAGGAAUUGGCGGGGGAGCACCACAAGGGGUGAAGCUUGCGGUUUAAUUGGAGUCAACGCCGGAAAUCUCACCGGGAGCGACAGCAGUAUGAAGGCCAAGCUGAAGACUUUGCCGGAUUAGCUGAGAGGAGGUGCAUGGCGUAGUCGUGU
rnacentral:rRNA from 1 species